ACAUUCCAGCACAUGCAAUCACCCCUACCACUGCUAAUAACGUUGCAACUCCUGUCAAUGAUGAUGCAACUUUGGAAGAUUAUCCCAACGAUCCUUCUUCUGCUUCACACAGGCCAAGAGGUAGGAAAGCGGGAGCCCACGUUCAACAGGAACGUUUUAUGAAAUUCUUGUUCAGGUUGUCAUCAGCUCAAUACAACUAGGGACAAAAGCAACAUCGUAGAUGGCCCAAGGAAUAAUAAGUUUCUUCUUAAUUCAUUAUUACAGUACGAAAGUGUUUUAAUUUUC
rnacentral:lncRNA from 13 species